GAACAGGAGAGAGAGGUCUGAGAGAACAGGAGAGAGAGAGAGAGGUCUGAGAGAACAGGAGAGAGAGGUCUGAGAGAACAGGAGAGAGAGGUCUGAGAGAACAGGAGAGAGAGAGAGAGGUCUGAGAGAACAGGAGAGAGAGGUCUGAGAGAACAGGAGAGAGAGGUCUGAGAGAACAGGAGAGAGAGAGAGAGGUCAGAGAGAACAGGAGAGAGAGAGAGAGAGAGAGAGGUCUGAGAGAACAGGAGAGAGAGAGAGAGGUCUGAGAGAACAGGGGAGAGGUCUGAGAGAACAGGAGAGAGAGAGAGAGGUCUGAGAGAACAGGAGAGACAGAGAGGUCUGAGAGAACAGGAGAGAGAGAGAGAUGUCUGAGAGAACAGGAGAGAGAGAGAGAGAGGUCUGAGAGAACAGGGGAGAGGUCUGAGAGAACAGGAGAGAGAGAGAGAGGUCUGAGAGAACAGGAGAGACAGAGAGGUCUGAGAGAACAGGAGAG